ACCUUCUGCUUUAUAUGAUACAGAGUAUGGAACUGCAGGACGCACAGACAACUGUGAAGGGUUUUUAAGAAUAUGGAUUCAUUGAAUAAUCAGUGAAUCUUGUGAAUAUACUAGACCUUUGGAGGAGGAAAGGGUGUUUUACAGAAGGAAGUGGUUUGUGGGGGCUUUUAAAGGACAAGUCCUGCGCUUGGGGAUCCUCUGUACGCCCGUUCACUGGUGCAGGUCUUCUGAACAAAUGCCUCCUGAGGAUUUCUGUGCCUGGAAAAUAUCUGUUAACAGACUGCUUUUACACCUACCUACCAUACUGGGAACUGCCCAAUGGAGAGGCCCACAUUCCACAAGGAACUGAUGUCUUCAGCCAAUACCUCGCCAGGACCUGAGGCCUGCUGAGAGUCACGAGUGGCCUUCGUGGGUCCUCUCUCAACGAGCUUGCAGGUGACCACUGCGCCAGCCAAAACCUUGAUGGCAGCCUAUGAGUGAGUGACCCUGAGCCAGAAGACCCAGUUAAGCCAUGCCCAGGAUCCUGACCUGCAGAAACUAUGACAUAAUAAAUUUAUUGUUUUAUGCCACUAACUUUUGGGGUUACUUAUGCAGCAAUAGAUAGCUAAUACAGCUCAUAGUAUCCUUAUCUAGCCUCAAACAUUCUGCCUUUAGUAUCUAACUUUCCUAACUUUUUAGAUAAACUUUUU
rnacentral:lncRNA from 1 species